rnacentral:lncRNA from 1 species
AUUCAUAUACCUAACUCAUUAUAAACUACUUUGUUAAUCCGGUGAAAGUAAUGUAACUUCUCCUAAAUUCUGAAAGCCGGAUUUGGCUAUACGUUUAAUAAACACUGUAAUAACCAAAUUUUAUUUAGCAAAGGGAUAAAGCAAAAUACCGUUGUUUGUGAAUAAAUUGCAUUUCUAAUUCUGUCCUUGUUUCUAGCACAUGUUCUAUCUCCGUUCUUGUUUUGGCUCCAUGGUUCAAAUUCCGACUUGAGUUCUAAGGAUUGGUGAAUCUCCAAUUUUGAAUCUUCAUGCUUCUAACCUUCAAGCAUUCUUUGAUAUUCACCAAAGUAUUGGAUACACCGACGAGUUGACAUCGAAACAAAAACCCAAACACAAAAUCCUAUGAAAUCACAAGAAAAUUGAGUCAAAAGGCAAGAAAAUAAUCUUCUCUACAUAUGCAAUACAUGCAAACGACAAUAUUCUUAUGCCAUGGUUGAAACCACCUAGGAAAAAUAGGGUUUUGUUUCUUAUUAUAAUUGGUUUAGGAUUGUUAUUUUUAUAUUUUUGCACAUACAGUCCCUAAACUUUUAUUACUUAUACAAUUAGGGCAUGUUUGAUACAAACCAAUUCCAUGGAAAAUGGAAUCAUUUUCCACACAAAUGUGUUGUUUGAUAGGUAAAAUUUUCGAUGAAAUUCUUUUUCCACCCUACCCCCCACAUAAUUCAAAUUCUUGGUUUUUAAGGAAAAUGUUUUCCUUUGGUUUUGGUGAGAAAGUGUUUUCCAAUUUAAUU